rnacentral:piRNA from 1 species
UCCAUGUGUACUCAUUGGUUGGUGGUUUAGU